rnacentral:rRNA from 1 species
CCCUUAGAUGUUCUGGGCCGCACGCGCGCUACACUGAUGCAUUCAACGAGUCUAAAACCUGCUCUGAUAGGGGUGGGUAAUCUUUUGAAUGUGCAUCGUGAUUGGGAUAGAUGAUUGCAAUUUUUCAUCUUCAACGAGGAAUGCCUAGUAAACGCAAGUCAUCAGCUUGCAUUGAUUACGUCCCUGCCCUUUGUACACACCGCCCGUCGCUCCUACCGAUUGAAUGAUCCGAUGAAUAUCAUGGAUUGAGGAUGUAAGCAGGUUCGCCUGUCUUCAUCUUCGAGAAGUGAAGUAAAUCUUAUCAUUUAGAGGAAGGAGAAGUCGUAAC